rnacentral:misc_RNA from 1 species
GAUGAAGAACGCAGCGAAAUGCGAUAAGUAAUGUGAAUUGCAGAAUUCAGUGAAUCAUCGAAUCUUUGAACGCACAUUGCGCCCGCCAGUAUUCUGGCGGGCAUGCCUGUUCGAGCGUCAUUACAACCCUCAGGCCCCCGGGCCUGGCGUUGGGGAUCGGCGGAGCCCCCCGUGGGCACACGCCGUCCCCCAAAUACAGUGGCGGUCCCGCCGCAGCUUCCAUCGCGUAGUAGCUAACACCUCGCGACUGGAGAGCGGCGCGGCCACGCCGUAAAACACCCAACUUCUGAAAUGUUGACCUCGGAUCAGGUAGGAAUACCCGCUGAACUUAAGCAUAUCAAUAAGCGGAGGA